rnacentral:lncRNA from 1 species
CGUGUCUGAAUCUUCAGAGGGUAGAAGUCAUCAUCCUGUUUACUCAAAUUCCGAAAUUUGAUUAUUGCAAUUUGUAGUAUACAGGGUUACCCAAACAGCCCUCUGGAACACUGUUAUUCCUCAAAGAAUGAUUUCCCUACAUGAGUGAUUUUCAAAGGUGUCAGCAAUGAGCAUUGAAUAGGAAGAUGUGGAUUCAACAACAUAGACCUGAAAAUACAUUUGGGGAUCAGAG